GGAGGAAGAGCUUGCUCUUCCAAAGUUAGUGGCGGACGGGUGAGUAACACGUGGGCAACCUGCCUGUAAGUUGGGGAUAACUCCGGGAAACCGGGGCUAAUACCGAAUGAUAAAGUGUGGCGCAUGCCACGCUUUUGAAAGAUGGUUUCGGCUAUCGCUUACAGAUGGGCCCGCGGUGCAUUAGCUAGUUGGUAGGGUAAUGGCCUACCAAGGCAACGAUGCAUAGCCGACCUGAGAGGGUGAUCGGCCACACUGGGACUGAGACACGGCCCAGACUCCUACGGGAGGCAGCAGUAGGGAAUCUUCCGCAAUGGACGAAAGUCUGACGGAGCAACGCCGCGUGUAUGAAGAAGGUUUUCGGAUCGUAAAGUACUGUUGUUAGAGAAGAACAAGGAUAAGAGUAACUGCUUGUCCCUUGACGGUAUCUAACCAGAAAGCCACGGCUAACUACGUGCCAGCAGCCGCGGUAAUACGUAGGUGGCAAGCGUUGUCCGGAUUUAUUGGGCGUAAAGCGCGCGCAGGCGGUCUUUUAAGUCUG
rnacentral:rRNA from 1 species